AAUAUUGGACAAUGUGGGCAACCCUGAUACAGCCAUGCCGCGUGUGUGAAGAAGGUCUUCUGAUUGUAAAGCACUUUAAGUUGGGAGGGAUGGCUAUAGGUUAAGAUCCUGACGUUUUGACUUUACAAACAGAAUAAGCACCUGCUAACUCUGUACCAGCAGCCGCGGUAAUACAGAGGUUGCAAGCGUUAAUCGGAAUUACUGGGCGUAAAGCGCGCGUAGGUGGUUCAGUAAGAUGGGUGUGAAAUCCCCGGGCUUAACCUGGGAACUGCUUUCAUAACUGCUGAGCUAGAGUACGGUAGAGGGUAGUGGAAUUUCCUGUGUAGCGGUGAAAUGCGUAGAUAUAGGAAGGAACACCAGUGGCGAAGGCGACUACCUGGACUGAUACUGACACUGAGGUGCGAAAGCGUGGGGAGCAAAC
rnacentral:rRNA from 1 species